UGCAUUCGCUACUGUAAGUCGCUCUGAAUAAGAGCAUCUGCUAAAUGACUGAAA
rfam:Salmo salar isolate Sally breed double haploid chromosome ssa16, whole genome shotgun sequence.